AACAGAUGACCCAAUGUUGCUUAAGUUAGAACAUGCACCGCGUGUGCCCAGCUCCCCGGGAAGUGGGGUUGGCGCGUGUGGGUUUUUCUAAAGAGAAAUAUGGCCCGUAAUUUAAAAAUGCAUCCCCCCUCCUCAGGGGUAGCCAAAAUAACAAGUGGACUGCAAGGUAAACCUGUUUAAUGAAAAGCCGAGGGCCGUGGUGGGCAUCUCUUGCUAAAAGGGAGAAGAAAAUUUUGAGACCAUCACAGACAAUGCUGCUACAACCAGUCUUGUACAUAAACCUUGGGACACGUGUACCGGUUGCUCCAAGCAUAGGACUGAAAUACCAAAUCUCAGGCAUGGUCAAUGAGUGGAGUACAUCUGUACCUGGGAUCUGAAGUCGCAAACCUGGGCCGCGGAAGCAGAACAUGUGAAACUUUAACCACUCAGCCCCAGAUUUUCAAAUUAAUAGGAAAAAAUCAAGCUACAGAACAGCAUGUUUAUCAUACUACCAUUGGUGUAAAGAACGGAAAAAGAAUAGAUGUCUGCAUUUAUGUACAUGCAUAGAAGUGCUUCAGAAGUUGAGGAAACACACAAAUUCCUAUGAAUCAGAGAGAUAUUUCCCAGUAUCAAGCUUUGUAAGAAUGGCCAGGACGUCUACAAUCAAAUGCUCGGAUGAAGCAGAGAGAAGUCUGUGACGUCAUGGCGGCUACCUCGCACCAUCAGCUAGAGAUGUAUUCUCUAUGUGAGGUUCACAGGAUCACCUUCCACAGUGGGAGCAUUUUAUUAUGAAGCAUCUCCAAUUUAUGCCCAGGAAUAGCCAACCUGACAUUCUCCCUAGAGCUCACCUGUACUAUAGGUCAUCGUUAGCCAGGGCCUGCCUUCUAAGGGCCUUUCAGAGACAAUACUUCCACCUCCUAAUAAAUGUCAGUAAGUCUAUUUACCUGGAGGUCCAGAUUACCGAAGUUAGACUAAGUCCCUUUGAGGCAUGUUCCCUGUAAAGGAGUGAGUAGAUCUCAGACAGCUAAUUUAACUCCCUCCCAGAAGGAUUCAUUAAAAUGUCUCGGGGAAGUUGGACAGCUGGGAAUGAGUGUUGGGUUAACAAUUCUUUGUACUGAAUCCUCACUGUUAACAAACUGGUGAGGUUUCUGUCCUCUGAGUAGACACUGAUGGAUGAACCCCUUCUGCCGCCCUGAAGAGCUGUUUGAAUCUUCUCUGUGGAAAUCUUGGUAAAUUUCUCAUCCAGGAUAAUCAGAAGUAAACAAAUACUUAGUAAACAUUCAUCUUUCUUCUGAAAUUAAAAUGACAGAGACUCCUAAUGACAGGACAGAAGAACACAAAGGGAGACUGAGCCAACAGGCCACUUAUUUUGGCAAAGUAUGUGCCUUGAUACUACAGUGAAAAUAGAGCGUUACAAUUAUUGUUACUGAAACUGACUGGAAAAAUACAGUUCAAUGACUUCAAAAAUAGGAAGACACUUUGACCUUGAAACUGGAAACAUCA
rnacentral:lncRNA from 1 species